rnacentral:rRNA from 1 species
GUACUCGAGUGGCGAACGGGUGAGUAACACGUGGGUGAUCUGCCCUGCACUUUGGGAUAAGCCUGGGAAACUGGGUCUAAUACCAGAUAGGACCACGUCUUGGAUGGUGUGGUGGAAAGUUUUUUCGGUGUGGGAUGAGCUCGCGGCCUAUCAGCUUGUUGGUGGGGUAAUGGCCUACCAAGGCGUCGACGGGUAGCCGGCCUGAGAGGGUGUACGGCCACAUUGGGACUGAGAUACGGCCCAGACUCCUACGGGAGGCAGCAGUGGGGAAUAUUGCACAAUGGGCGCAAGCCUGAUGCAGCGACGCCGCGUGGGGGAUGACGGCCUUCGGGUUGUAAACUCCUUUCGCCAGGGACGAAGCGUCAGUGACGGUACCUGGAUAAGAAGCACCGGCUAACUACGUGCCAGCAGCCGCGGUAAUACGUAGGGUGCGAGCGUUGUCCGGAAUUACUGGGCGUAAAGAGCUCGUAGGUGGUUUGUCGCGUCGUUUGUGUAAUACCGCAGCUUAACUGCGGGGUUGCAGGCGAUACGGGCAUAACUUGAGUGCUGUAGGGGAGACUGGAAUUCCUGGUGUAGCGGUGGAAUGCGCAGAUAUCAGGAGGAACACCGAUGGCGAAGGCAGGUCUCU